rnacentral:tRNA from 1 species
GGAUUUGUACCUGAAUAAAGGAUUACUUUGAUAGAGUAAAACUAAGGGUCAAUAAUCCCUUCAAAUCCU